GCGAUCCUGGUGUAACGGUCCGCACAGGAGUCUGUGAAACUUCAGGUCCAGGGUUCGAGUCCCGGGGAUCGCC
rnacentral:tRNA from 2 species